rnacentral:rRNA from 2 species
UACGUAGGGGGCAAGCGUUAUCCGGAUUUACUGGGUGUAAAGGGAGCGUAGACGGUAUGGCAAGUCAGAUGUGAAAGCCCAGGGCUCAACCCUGGGACUGCAUUUGAAACUGUCAAACUAGAGUGUCGGAGAGGUAAGUGGAAUUCCUAGUGUAGCGGUGAAAUGCGUAGAUAUUAGGAGGAACACCAGUGGCGAAGGCGGCUUACUGGACGAUCACUGACGUUGAGGCUCGAAAGCGUGGGGAGCAAACAGG